GUGCCAGCAGCCGCGGUAAUACGGAGGGUGCAAGCGUUACUCGGAAUCACUGGGCGUAAAGCGCGCGCAGGCGGCCUUUUAAGUUGGAUGUGAAAGCCUAUGGCUCAACCAUAGAACUGCAUCCAAAACUAUUAGGCUAGAGUGUGGGAGAGGAAGAUGGAAUUAGUUGUGUAGGGGUAAAAUCCGUAGAGAUAACUAGGAAUACCAAAAGCGAAGGCAAUCUUCUGGAACAUUACUGACGCUGAGGCGCGAAAGCGUGGGGAGCAAACAGGAUUAGAUACCCUGGUAGUCCACGCCCUAAACGAUGAAUGUUAGUCGUCGGGUAGCUAGUCUAUUCGGUGAUGCAGCUAACGCAUUAAACAUUCCGCCUGGGGAGUACGGUCGCAAGAUUAAAACUCAAAGGAAUAGACGGGGACCCGCACAAGUGGUGGAGCAUGUGGUUUAAUUCGAAGAUACGCGAAGAACCUUACCUAGCCUUGACAUAUAUUAGAACUCAGCAGAGAUGCAGAGGUGCCUUCGGGAGCUUUUAUACAGGUGCUGCACGGCUGUCGUCAGCUCGUGUCGUGAGAUGUUGGGUUAAGUCCCGCAACGAGCGCAACCCUCGUCACUAGUUACUAACGGUUCGGCCGAGGACUCUAGUGAGACUGCCUUCGUAAGGAGGAGGAAGGUGAGGACGACGUCNAGUCAUCAUGGCCCUUACGGCUAGGGCAACACACGUGCUACAAUGGCCAGGACAGUGAGACNCNNNCCGCGAGGNGGAGCAAAUCUAUAAACCUGGUCUCAGUUCGGAUUGUAGUCUGCAACUCGAC
rnacentral:rRNA from 1 species